GAUGAACGCUGGCGGCGUGCCUAAUACAUGCAAGUCGAGCGAACAGAUAAGGAGCUUGCUCCUUUGACGUUAGCGGCGGACGGGUGAGUAAAACGUGGGGAACCUACCUAUAAGACUGGAAUAACUCCGGGAAACCGGGGCUAAUGCCGGAUAACAUUUAGAACCGCAUGGUUCUAAAGUGAAAGAUGGUUUUGCUAUCACUUAUAGAUGGACCCGCGCCGUAUUAGCUAGUUGGUAAGGUAACGGCUUACCAAGGCAACGAUACGUAGCCGACCUGAGAGGGUGAUCGGCCACACUGGAACUGAGACACGGUCCAGACUCCUACGGGAGGCAGCAGUAGGGAAUCUUCCGCAAUGGGCGAAAGCCUGACGGAGCAACGCCGCGUGAGUGAUGAAGGUCUUCGGAUCGUAAAACUCUGUUAUUAGGGAAGAACAAAUGUGUAAGUAACUGUGCACGUCUUGACGGUACCUAAUCAGAAAGCCACGGCUAGCUACGUG
rnacentral:rRNA from 1 species